AUAGAAUUGGAAGAAUUCAUUGCACGACUUAACUGCAAUUCCAUCAAUAUCAAAUUAACAUACUCCAUUGGAAGCAAACUGCGGCAAAUAUGGUCCUUCAUGCAACAUCAGCACAUCCUCGUCACCUGAUAAAUAACAUCCCGGUGGGACAGUACAUACGGGCUCGGAGAAUAUGCUCCAACGAUUUCAACUUUGAAAAACAAGCCAAAGAUCUACAGGGCAAAAAGAAGAACAUAGCGCACCCGGACAUUGAGAACAUGAUUAGACUUAUUGUGGACCAUCACUCUAGGACAUC